rnacentral:sRNA from 1 species
AGACCGUCCCCUCAUCCUGCAAGGCGCAGCGCGAGUGUCCCCUCCUUUGGGGGCCUAUCCUGGAGCCUGCACAGAGUUCACCGGUCCUUCCGCCACCCUCAGGCCACUCCGGUGACCCUGCAGCGUCUCCUGGCGGGGCCGCCUCCCCAGACCCGCCUGUGUCCCGUGGGCUCGCACCCGGCAGGCCUCGGCGCAGGAGGGAGAGGGCGGUCGGGGAGCCGGGCAGGGCGCGACGGUUCCUGGGCGCCUCCCGCGGGGGCGCGUCCUGGGCCUGCCUUCUGGGGACCCCUGCGCGCAGGCGGUGACCCCUCCCUGUUCGCUUGCAGCUGCUGCUUUCUUAGUGGGCUCGGCCAAGCAUGGGACCCAGCCUGUCGCUGCGCUGGAGUCGGCGGCGGAGGCCGGGGCCGGGACCCUGGCAAACCCCCUCGGCACCCUCAACCGGCUGAAGCUCCUGCUGAGCAGCCUGGGCAUCCCCGUGAACCACCUCAUAGAGGGCUCCCAGAAGUGUGUGGCUGAGCUGGGUCCCGAGGCCAUGGGGGCCGUGAAGGCCCUGAGGGCCCUGCUGGGGGCCCUGACAAUGUUUGGCUGAGCCGAGACUGGAGCAGCCACACCUGAGGACAAGACGCUGCCCACCCGCGAGGGCUGAAAACCCCGCCGCGAGGUGGACCGUCCAUCCCCUUCCCCCGGCCCCUCUCAAUAAACGUGGUUAAGAGCA